rnacentral:rRNA from 1 species
CAGCACCUCAAGUGGUCAGGAUGAUUAUUGGGCCUAAAGCAUCCGUAGCCGGCUCUGUAAGUUUUCGGUUAAAUCUGUAUGCUCAACAUACAGGCUGCCGGGAAUACUGCAGAGCUAGGGAGUGGGAGAGGUAGACGGUACUCGGUAGGAAGGGGUAAAAUCCUUUGAUCUAUUGAUGACCACCUGUGGCGAAGGCGGUCUACCAGAACACGUCCGACGGUGAGGGAUGAAAGCUGGGGGAGCAAACCGGAUUAGAUACCCGCGUAGUCC